AACUCCUUGAUUUGUUUCCACAGAGCGGAACUUAAACCCUAAAGCUGCAUGCCUUAAGAGAAGAGAGGAGGAGAAGAUCUCGAACGUUGAAUCCACAACUCAGCAUUUGGUGGUUCACCAGGGGAUAGGCGAUAGUGCCAACCCCAUGGGUCAUAUGUGAAGCAGGGCAGAAAUCACAAGUGGUCUUCAUGAAUUUAACGGACGAUUUUUGGGGCUUCCCCCCCCCCCCCCCCCCUUUCCAACCCUCCCAACCCCACCCCCCCCCCCCCCCCCCCUGCGAUUUUGACUGGAGAUUCUGUCGGAAUGAGACGCAAGUCUUCUGAGCAAGGAAGGAAGGUCCCAGGUUUCUGCAAAUGUCGGGACAAGCUCAAGUCCGAGCGACAAGCCGCCAUCUCCAAGCAUCCCAUCGCCGACCUCGAUACCUUUCCCGUACACGUGCCUGCAGUUGGAUUAAUCGGUGACAAGUUUCGUUGGAGGAUAUGUCUUUUUUUUGUUUAAUUUAUCAUCAUCUUUCCGUGUCCGUUUUUUUUUUUUAAGGAGUUUUCUUUUUUUUUU